rnacentral:rRNA from 1 species
GCGAGGUAGAGCAAAUCUCAAAAAAACAAUCUCAGUUCAGACUGCAGGCUGCAACUCGCCUGCACGAAGUCGGAAUUGCUAGUAAUCGUAGGUCAGCAUACUACGGUGAAUACGUUCCCGGGCCUUGUACACACCGCCCGUCAAACCAUGAGAGUUGGCAACACCCGAAGUCGGUAGUCUAACCGCAAGGAGGACGCCGUCGAAGGUGGGGUUGAUGAUUAGGGUUAAGUCGUAACAAGGUAUC